rnacentral:lncRNA from 1 species
UCCAUUGUCUUGGAGCAGGGCCACCCUCACACAGGAAGCUGUGUGUAUCACUGCUCACUGCAGGCAGAAACGCUGCGAAGGCCUUCCUAUGACUGAUAAACGGUGUUUGGUUUGGAUCAAGAGGAAAAAUAAGGCGCUCAGGAUAACAGGGGGCCGGUGGGAAAACAUUCGGAACUCCAGAAUGAGAGCAAAAGAAGAGAGACUGCUUUGAAGGUUCCACGAGGUGGUUAACUAACAAGGAACAAUGAGGGCAGCCCAGGCAGGGGCUUCCUUCCACCCAGCUGCAGUCAAAGCCACCGGUGGCCAGGGAGCUGGCAGGAACCCUGUUAUGGCUGGGGAGAACAAACAGGCUUGGUCAAGGAAGCCAAGCCCCCUUCAAAGAACUAUGCCCCAACCCCCACAGCUUUGGGAGUGUUUGCUGACAAGGUCUAGGCUCACAGAAGACAAUGAGGCUGUAUUUUCUGUGAAGAGCCGAGACAAAAUCUGGACAGUUUGGUGAGAGAAGGGACGGCGAUUGAAGGUAUAAGAAAAGGAUUGUGCCAGUUUGGGUCCCUGGUCCAGGGACCAGGGCUGCCAGAUCCUGCAGAUGGGAAGUGGUCUGGCUGUCCCAGCACCUUCCUUGUGUGCCCACCGGGCCCCUGGGGCUGUAGUAGGCAGCUGUUGGCAUUAACAGAGAUAUAUGCAGAGGAUAUAAUCAGAGAUAUCUCUCCCGUACCCAGAGAAUGCCUAAAGCCACAGAUGGUAUUGAAUUGUAUUAAAAUUGUGUGUUUCCUGUACACAUAUACUUAUGCUAAAGUUUAACUAUAGUAAUAAAGUGGUCAAUCAAAGCAA